GAAACGCGAAAUGUAAUGUGAAUUGCAGAAUUCAGUGAAUCAUCGAAUCUUUGAACGCAUCUUGCACUCUCGAAUCACUAUCGAGAGUAUGCCUGUUUGAGUGUCGCGAAACUCUCAACCCCGCCUCAUGCUUUAUUGCGUGUGGGUAGCUUGGGCUUGGAUCAUGAUCUUUGCAGUAAUGCGCUAGCAGAACUGCUGGAUUGAAAUACAACAAGCUGAAUCUAUAUACUUGCGGCUUGACCUGUCGUUGUAAGCACACAAAUGCAUUCGAUGGGGACGCGAGAAAAUGGAAUGAGCUUUCCAAAUGUGUUACACUUUGCAGCUUCUAUUAACUUAGAGCUCUUAGUGCAUUCUGACCUCAAAUCAGGUAGGAUUACCCGCUGAACUUAA
rnacentral:misc_RNA from 2 species